rnacentral:rRNA from 1 species
AUUGAACGCUGGCGGCAGGCCUAACACAUGCAAGUCGAGCGGCAGCGGAAAGUAGCUUGCUACUUUGCCGGCGAGCGGCGGACGGGUGAGUAAUGUCUGGGGAUCUGCCUGAUGGAGGGGGAUAACUACUGGAAACGGUAGCUAAUACCGCAUAACGUCGCAAGACCAAAGAGGGGGACCUUCGGGCCUCUUGCCAUCAGAUGAACCCAGAUGGGAUUAGCUAGUAGGUGGGGUAACGGCUCACCUAGGCGACGAUCCCUAGCUGGUCUGAGAGGAUGACCAGCCACACUGGAACUGAGACACGGUCCAGACUCCUACGGGAGGCAGCAGUGGGGAAUAUUGCACAAUGGGCGCAAGCCUGAUGCAGCCAUGCCGCGUGUAUGAAGAAGGCCUUCGGGUUGUAAAGUACUUUCAGCGAGGAGGAAGGCGUUAAGGUUAACAACCUUAGCGAUUGACGUUACUCGCAGAAGAAGCACCGGCUAACUCCGUGCCAGCCGCCGCCGUAA